AUUCUGAAACGUCACUCAAAUAUCUACUUUCGUAAGCAGUGCUUAUAAUUUAAGAGACGUCAAAACUUAAGUGGAAUUCACAAACGCAAAUCAAGACAUCUAAGCGCGUGAUUCCAAUGGAAUGCACCGGACAUUAUUGUUUAUUUUGAUAUUGUGAUUUACGAGAAAAUACAGGUAAGCAGAACACAGUAUAUGGGUUUUUUGGUGAAUUCAAUAACAGUUUUUAAUUUUCGGAAAAUUGGCACAUAGAAUUGAGACAUAAAACAACUUUCAGUGGUUUUAGAAGACGGAAAUGUUUCUGAAGAUGGUUUGGAAGAUGAAAGUGAAGAUGACGAAACCUUUUUAGCUUAUGCAAGAGAGAUAAUUCAAGAGAAAGAAGACGAGGAUGCAGAGGAUCAUGAAGAUCCUACCUAUAGCGAUCCACCACUGGUUCAAGAUUGUCCUGACUCAUUGAGUAAAAUUAUUUCUUCAUUAUCCAUGCACGAAGGUCAUGAAUAUUUUGUAGUUUGAUUAAAGGAAACUUGUUUGGAAAAAAGACAUUUUGUAUGAUAUUGUAUGAUGAAUCAAAAAUAAUUUGCCAACCAAGUACAACAGACUCUGCUAUAACUGAACUUGAUACACCAUAUAAAUGUUUUUUGCAUUACUUUACACCAGAGUUUCUUAAAAAAUUGUUGAUGAAAUUAACUUAUAUGCAGUGCA